GUGCCAGCCGCCGCGGUAAUACGUAGGGUGCGAGCGUUGUCCGGAAUUAUUGGGCGUAAAGAGCUUGUAGGCGGUUUGUCGCGUCUGCCGUGAAAAUUCGAGGCUCAACCUCGAACUUGCGGUGGGUACGGGCAGACUAGAGUGUGGUAGGGGAGACUGGAAUUCCUGGUGUAGCGGUGAAAUGCGCAGAUAUCAGGAGGAACACCGAUGGCGAAGGCAGGUCUCUGGGCCACUACUGACGCUGAGAAGCGAAAGCAUGGGGAGCGAACAGGAUUAGAAACCCGCGUAGUCC
rnacentral:rRNA from 1 species